GAUAGUACCUUACUACUUGGAUACCCGUAGUAAUUCUAGAGCUAAUACAUGCAUCAACGCCCAAUCGGGCCGCGUUUAUUAGAUAGAAACCCAUAUUUUUGGUGAAUCAUAAUAACUGUGCGAAUCGCAUGGGUUUACCCCGGCGAUGAAUCAAUCAAGUUUCUGCCCUAUCAGCUUUCGAUGGUAGGGUAUUGGCCUACCAUGGCGUUAACGGGUAACGGAGAAUUAGGGUUCGAUUCCGGAGAGGGAGCCUGAGAAACGGCUACCACAUCCAAGGAAGGCAGCAGGCGCGUAAAUUACCCAAUCCUGACACAGGGAGGUAGUGACAAUAAAUAACAAUGCCGGGCUUUUUCAAGUCUGGCAAUUGGAAUGAGAACAAUUUAAAUCCCUUAACGAGGAUCAAUUGGAGGGCAAGUCUGGUGCCAGCAGCCGCGGUAAUUCCAGCUCCAAUAGCGUAUAUUAAUGUUGUUGCAGUUAAAAAGCUCGUAGUUGGAUUUCUGGUGGGAGUGGCCGGUCCGCCGUAAGGUGUGUACUUGGUUGUCUCCUGUCAUCCUUGUGGGAACUGCUCUGGCAUUAAGUUGUCGGGGUUGGGGAACACAUCGUUUACUGUGAAAAAAUUAGAGUGUUUAAAGCAGGCUUAUGCCGUUGAAUACAUUAGCAUGGAAUAAUAAGAUAGGACUUUGGCGUCUAUUUUGUUGGUUUGCACACCAAAGUAAUGAUUAAUAGGGAUAGUUGGGGGUAUUCGUAUUUAAUUGUCAGAGGUGAAAUUCUUGGAUUUAUGAAAGACGAACUUCUGCGAAAGCAUUUACCAAAGAUGUUUUCAUUAAUCAAGAACGAAAGUUAGGGGAUCGAAGAUGAUUAGAUACCAUCGUAGUCUUAACCAUAAACUAUGCCGACUAGGGAUUGGCGGUCGUUCAUUUAUGACUCCGUCAGCACCUUAUGAGAAUCAAAGUCUUGGGUU
rnacentral:rRNA from 1 species